rnacentral:piRNA from 1 species
UGUGUAGUCUUAGAAAAAGAUUUUUGAAA